CCAACGGGGACAUCUGGGGAAGUUGUGCUCUCUCAGCUCUUUCCGUGUGAUGUAAGGGAGCGAAGGCUUCGUGCUCUGUGACAUGGAGUCCCAUUCCACGCUGCUUGAGAGCAAGUCAGGCCCCUUGGGUCUGCAGCUUGCAUAUUCCUACUGCUUCUCUGAGUGUUUGGACGGUGAUUGAGGAGACAAACCAUGCAGGAGACAUUG